GAUGAAGAACGCAGCGAAAUGCGAUAAGUAAUGUGAAUUGCAGAAUUCAGUGAAUCAUCGAAUCUUUGAACGCACAUUGCGCCCCUUGGUAUCCCGAGGGGCAUGCCUGUUCGAGCGUCAUUAUAACCCCUCAAGCUCAGCUUGGUGUUGGGGCCUGCUGCACUGGCAGCCCUUAAAAUCAGUGGCGGCGCCAUCUGGCUCUAAGCGUAGUAAUUCUUCUCGCUAUGGAGUCCUGGUGGAUGCUUGCCAUCAACCCCCAAUUUUUCUAUGGUUGACCUCGGAUCAGGUAGGGAUACCCGCUGAACUUAAGCAUAUCAAUAGCGGAGGA
rnacentral:misc_RNA from 1 species